rnacentral:rRNA from 1 species
UACGUAUGGUGCAAGCGUUAUCCGGAUUUACUGGGCGUAAAGGGAGCGCAGGCGGUGCGCCAAGUCUGAUGUGAAACCCCGGGGCUCAACCCCGGGCACGCAUUGGAAACUGGCGGGCUGGAGUGCCGGAGAGGUAAGCGGAAUUCCCAGUGUAGCGGUGAAAUGCGUAGAUAUUAGGAGGAACACCAGUGGCGAAGGCGGCCUGCUGGACGGUGACUGACGCUGAGGCUCGAAAGCGUGGGGAGCAAACAGG